rnacentral:misc_RNA from 1 species
AACGUGCAGGAUAUGAUGUU